CAGUGGCAAUUUCGUGGGUAUCAAGAUAUAAUUCGGUGACUCGAUUGCGGCCCAGAAAUAGCAGGGGAUGGUCAGAAUUAGCGACUGUGGCCACCAAUAGAAUGCCAUCCGAUGAACAGAAAAUUCGUUGGAUUCUUUCGUGUCGAUUUCUACACCUUGCAUACUCGGCUAUGAUGCGUAAAUUUAAUAACUGAAAUCGCCGCGCAAUGCCUUCUGCGCUAAUAAAUUUGAGGAACAGCGUGGGGGAGCUUUACAGGGUCAAAAAUCGUAGGCUGGUCGCUUGAAAAUCCAAAAGAGGCACCCUAGUUCAGCUUUUCUAAACGCAGCGUUGGCUUUUUUGGCUCUGGGCUUUCGAACAAGUGGAAAGAAAAAAAAUGAGUCGCAGCUCGUCUAAAAACUGAGUUGCAGCACCAGUCGAUCAGUUUGCUCGGAAGCCCACCUCCGAAAAUGGGCGUAUCUCUUUCCUCUGUAAAUAACAAACUUCUUAAUGACUUGCGCGGGUCACUUUGUUAAAUCUCUUCCCUCGCAUCAUAGCGACG
rnacentral:lncRNA from 1 species